GGGGGCGAUCCGGUUUCGACUGGGAUAGUGAAGCCGACGCGGCAGGCAGAGGUGGUCGGGAGGCCUCUUAAAACACCCGGCAAAUUGACAACUGCCAACGAGCAGUUCGCACUGGCCGCUUAAAGCGGUCACGUCCUUACCGUCCAGCCUGCGGGGCGGAUAAGGGCGAACGAUAGCAGGCUGGCCUCAAACCCGGACCGCCGGGGGGAGAGGUGAGAUUUUUUCGUGGCGGUUAGUUCCCGGUUAAUCCUGUCGAUCGGAGUUUCCGGGGGCGAACGCAGUAGAUCGACUAAGCCUGUAGAAGCUCGGAGGGAUCUAUUUCAGGACGGGGGUUCGACUCCCCCCGCCUCCACUU
rnacentral:tmRNA from 1 species